UACGUAGGGACCAAGCGUUGUUCGGAUUUACUGGGCGUAAAGCGUAUGUAGGCGGAUCUUUAAGUCAGGGGUGAAAUCCCGAGGCUCAACCUCGGAACUGCCUUUGAUACUGGGGAUCUUGAGUCCGGGAGAGGUUAGUGGAACUGCGAGUGUAGAGGUGAAAUUCGUAGAUAUUCGCAAGAACACCAGUGGCGAAGGCGGCUAACUGGCCCGGUACUGACGCUGAAAUACGAAAGCGUGGGGAGCAAACAGG
rnacentral:rRNA from 1 species